CUCACAUUUGUGAGGUGUCCCAUCUGUGUCUGCAGGAGUCACCCUGAAGUUGACAGGAAUAUGAGUCAAAUGGCAGAUUCGCUUUGCCCCUGCGUUUUCACAGAAGUUUAGUUCUCCAACUACAACUAAAUGGACAUUCAUUGAUCAACAGAGGAUACCCAACAGGACUCCUGAGAGACCCAAAUAGCUAUACAUCUGAAGGUACAAUUACAAAUGGACGAAUUUGUGGCUUAAUAUCUUUCAAGAUAAGGCUGAAGGCCUUGAUGCCUGCUUCACCCUCACCUCUAAACCCUCAGGUGUCUACUUUGUACACAGACUGGCAGUUGGAGUCCUAUUGGCUAUCCCGGAAGUCCUGCUGGACAGAACGUAAAAUGGUUCCAGGAUGGCUCCACUCUUGUUGUCUAUACCUGGUCUACAGGAAAAGCUCAGGAACUUUUUGCCCUUCCACAAGUGAG
rnacentral:lncRNA from 1 species